CGACAGCAAUAUGAAGGUCAGGCUGAAGACCUUACCGGAUUUAGCUGAGAGGUGGUGCAUGGCCGUCGUCAGUUUCGUACUGUGAAGCAUCCUGUUAAGUCAGGCAACGAGCGAGACCCACGUCCACAGUUGCCAGCAUACCCUCCGGGGUGAUGGGUACACUGUGGAGACCGCCGCUGCUAAAGCGGAGGAAGGAAUGGGCAACGGUAGGUCAGUAUGCCCCGAAUCUCCCGGGCUACACGCGGGCUACAAUGGUUGGUACAAUGGGCAUCUACCCCGAAAGGGGAAGGAAAUCUCUUAAAGCCAAUCGUAGUUCGGAUUGAGGGCUGCAACUCGCCCUCAUGAAGCUGGAAUCCGUAGUAAUCGCGUUUCAACAGAACGCGGUGAAUACGUCCCUGCUCCUU
rnacentral:rRNA from 1 species